GACAGAGGGUGCAACCGUUGCUCGGAAUUACUGGGCGUAAAGCGCGUGUAGGUGGCCACGCAAGUCAGGUGUGAAAGCCCAGGGCUCAACCCUGGAAGUGCACAUGAUACUACGUGGCUGGAGUACUGAAGAGGAGAGCGGAAUUCCCGGUGUAGAGGUGAAAUUCGUAGAUAUCGGGAGGAACACCGGUGGCGAAGGCGGCUUCCUGGACCGAUACUGACGCUGAGGCGCGAAAGCUAGGGGAGCAAACGGG
rnacentral:rRNA from 1 species